CCUACAAAAAUACACAUUUGAAUGCCACUUCAUGCAGUGCCUAUUGAACAUACAGGGCUAGAAGCAGCAUCCUCCAUCAUCUUCAGCUGAUUCUUUACGUUAGCUUCUGUGACUGAGAGGUUGUAUUGUUCUGAAUUACACCAUUUAAUGCCUUAUUUUCCUUGCACGCCGCUCAACUAUGCAAGAAAAUUCAUAAGAUGAGAGCAUUGCUGAAGCACUGUCCUACCUCAGUUACUUAUCUGAUCGUCUGUUCUCAUCGCUACUCCACAGAAGGAAAUUACAACUCAUGGGAUUAGGAUACUGCAAGAUAAAAAUACCUUCCCUUAUUUCUGUAGUCAUAUGCUUUCUCAUUCCCCUGGCUUUUUGGCAGACAUGACUUCUUUUAAAGCCAGCCAGCCACCCUUAACUUAGCAGCUAUUGCGGAUAAUAAGUACUGUCCUGAAAAAAGAAAGCCAAGCCAGGGCUGGAAGUUGUGGUUUCUACUCACUGUAGGAGAAGUAACGUUUCUAGCUGUGAGCCUUCCUCAGUCAAAGCCUGGGGAGACCUAGGCCCCCCAGAACAGCAUUGCCAAGAAUUUUCUGAUCAAGAAGGCACUAAAGCUCAUCCAAAGCACAGAGGCUCUUCCAGCCCUGGCGCUCUGCCUGCUCUGGAUCUUCUGUCCUGAACCCUUUCCAGAGCUACUAGUUAUCUUCUUUUUCUGUGAGAAGGCAGCAAGCAAAGGGGCUCCUGCUGCUUUACCUUAGUGGUAACUUACUGAUGAAAGCGUGAGACGUGGGUUGUGUCCUUGGCACGUGGGGGUUCUAAAUCACAUGGUGGGAGUAAUGCCCCCAUCACCAGGCUACGUGGGGGGGGAGAGGCAUGGAGGGGGGAAAAUCCGUCAGCCCCUGCCGUUGAAGUUUAGCUUUUCUGCUAAAUAAACAAUAAAAUCUGCACUGCAUCACAGACCAGGAAUAAACGUGACUGCAGCCUAGUACACAUCUGGAUAAAUAUAUGGGCAGCUGCAAUGCGUGUUUUUAAUACGAACUGUUCAUCCGUAAAAUAUUUAAAAAUUCACUGGAGCAAUUCCAUAGCCCACUUGGACUAACUCCAAAACUGUCAGCAAUCAUUAGACAAUGGCACAAAAUGAUUUUGAUAAACUGAAAUUUGGCAACAAUUGGCAGAGACAUCCAGUCUGGGGUUUCAGAUUACUGAACCAAAUGGGAAUCCUGUCUCUGCUGAAGGGAACAGCGAUGGCCUGUGUUCUGCAGUGGCUCAAUUAAACAUACACAAGAUAAACAGUGUUAGUUAGCUGGCACAUGUGAGGCACAGGGCUCGGAUGUAUGGCGAAUUUGAUUUCCAUUCUUAAAGAGGCUUCCAGGUGUAAUACAAACGAGGCCAACAGAAGGGAUGGCUUGUUUGGAAAACCAAGAAGAGGAAGGAAGAAAACGUACCUCCAACCUGCAGCAGCUCUCCGGUUCCUCCUCCGUAUCUGUGCACACUGUGCUCAAAAGCCUCUUUCAGAGUGGAGCCUUUUACCCUUACCAAAUCAAAACGACCUCCAAAUGGCAAAACAGACAGCAAAUCUUCCACAGUAAUGCUACCUGGGAGAAUGAGACUUUAUUUACUUCUUUUUUUUUUUUAGGUUUACAAAAUCAUUUUAUGUUCAUUUAACAGUAUGUUUUUGACAAGGAACAUGGCAAAUACAAUUUAAGAAAAUAAGGGCCAUAGAGGUGAGAAUCACAUAUGUUGUCCCAAUGGAAGAAGCUGCAUCUUUAUCAUCCAGCAAGUAUCAAGGCCAAUAAAUCUGUAACCGUGUGUAUUGCUAUUCAAAUAACUCUAUUAGAAUAAAGAUGAAGAAACAUAGCUAUUCUUACUGAGUCAGGCAAUUUUUCCAAUUGCUUAAGAUUUACUCACAUAGUCCUACAGAAAGAUUUAGCUAAACUGAAAAAGGUGUUUGUUUUCAGGUUUCAUUUAUGUGGUAUCAGGAAAAUAAAAACUGUAAAACCUUA